CCUUGACAAUAAAUGUUAUAGGGCAAUGAUAAACGUCGCACGUGUUUUCGCCAGCCUGUGACAGGGGACUCUUUAACUUUUUUUGAGUGGGAAGAUGAAGAGCUAAAUGAAACCCACUUGUAGAUGGGGUAUUAUGUAAGGAUUGUCGCUGGUACGGGGUAGUAUGAAGCUUUGGGUUAGGGUGGUAUUGCCCCAAACCGACUGGCUCAAUAUAAUUUCCAGAAUUGGCAACAUGUGACAGUAUAAAUAUACCUAGAAAGAUAUCUU
rnacentral:lncRNA from 1 species